UGUUUCGGCUAGGGGGCCAUCCCGGCUUACCAACCCGAUGCAAACUGCGAAUACCGGAGAAUGUUAUCACGGGAGACACACGGCGGGUGCUAACGUCCGUCGUGAAGAGGGAAACAACCCAGACCGCCAGCUAAGGUCCCAAAGUCAUGGUUAAGUGGGAAACGAUGUGGGAAGGCCCAGACAGCCAGGAUGUUGGCUUAGAAGCAGCCAUCAUUUAAAGAAAGCGUAAUAGCUCACUGGUCGAGUCGGCCUGCGCGGAAGAUGUAACGGGGCUAAACCAUGCACCGAAGCUGCGGCAGCGACACUCAGGUGUUGUUGGGUAGGGGAGCGUUCUGUAAGCCUGCGAAGGUGGCCUGUGAGGGUUGCUGGAGGUAUCAGAAGUGCGAAUGCUGACAUAAGUAACGAUAAAGCGGGUGAAAAGCCCGCUCGCCGGAAGACCAAGGGUUCCUGUCCAACGUUAAUCGGGGCAGGGUGAGUCGACCCCUAAGGCGAGGCCGAAAGGCGUAGUCGAUGGGAAACGGGUUAAUAUUCCCGUACUUGGUGUUACUGCGAAGGGGGGACGGAGAAGGCUAUGUUGGCCGGGCGACGGUUGUCCCGGUUUAAGCGUGUAGGCUGGUUUUCCAGGCAAAUCCGGAAAAUCAAGGCUGAGGCGUGACGACGAGGCACUACGGUGCUGAAGCAACAAAUGCCCUGCUUCCAGGAAAAGCCUCUAAGCAUCAGGUAACAUCAAAUCGUACCCCAAACCGACACAGGUGGUCAGGUAGAGAAUACCAAGGCGCUUGAGAGAACUCGGGUGAAGGAACUAGGCAAAAUGGUGCCGUAACUUCGGGAGAAGGCACGCUGACACGUAGGUGAAGUGAUUUACUCACGGAGCUGAAGUCAGUCGAAGAUACCAGCUGG
rnacentral:rRNA from 1 species